rnacentral:rRNA from 1 species
CCUACGGGAGGCAGCAGUGAGGAAUAUUGGUCAAUGGGCGGAAGCCUGAACCAGCCAAGUAGCGUGCGGGAUGAAGGCCCUACGGGUCGUAAACCGCUUUUGCACGGGGAUAACACCCUCCACUUGUGGAGGUCUGCAGGUACCGUGCGAAUAAGGGCCGGCUAAUUCCGUGCCAGCAGCCGCGGUAAUACGGAAGGCCCGAGCGUUAUCCGGAUUCAUUGGGCUUAAAGGGAGCGUAGGCGGGCGUUCAAGUCAGCUGUAAAAUCGCGCGGCUCAACCGCGCCCCGCAGUUGAAACUGGACGCAUUGAGUUCACAACAGGCAGGAGGAAGUCGUGGGGUAGCGGUGAAAUGCAUAGAUAUCACGAGGAACCCCGAUUGCGAAGGCAGCCUGCCGAGGUGCGACUGACGCUGAGGCUCGAAGGUGCGGGUAUCAAACAGGAUUAGAUACCCGAGUAGUC